AUUGAACGCUGGCGGCAGGCCUAACACAUGCAAGUCGAACGAGUGGCGGACGGGUGAGUAAUGUCUGGGAAACUGCCUGAUGGAGGGGGAUAACUACUGGAAACGGUAGCUAAUACCGCAUACCAUCAGAUGUGCCCAGAUGGGAUUAGCUAGUAGGUGGGGUAAUGGCUCACCUAGGCGACGAUCCCUAGCUGGUCUGAGAGGAUGACCAGCCAGACUGGACCUGAGAUACGGUCCAGACUCGUACGGGAGGCAGCAGUGGGGAAUAUUGCACAAUGGGCGCAAGACUGAUGCAGCCAUGCCGAGUGUGUGAAGAAGGCCUUCGGGUUGUAAAGCACUUUCAGCGGGGAGGAGUUACCCGCAGAAGAAGCACCGGCUAACUCCGUGCCAGCAGCCGCGGUAAUUC
rnacentral:rRNA from 1 species